CCAGCUCCAAUAGCGUAUAUUAAAGUUGUUGCAGUUAAAAAGCCCGUAGUUGGAUUUUGGGUUGGAGGAGUCGGUCUGCCGACAGGUUGAACUGUCUCCUCCAUCCUUCUUGCCGGGGACGUGUUCUGGCCUUCAUUGGCUGGGACGCGGAGUCGGCGAUGUUACUUUGAAAAAAUUAGAGUGUUCAAAGCAGGCCUAUGCUCUGAAUACAUUAGCAUGGAAUAACGCUAUAGGACUCUGGUCCUAUUGUGUUGGUCUUCGGGACCGGAGUAAUGAUUAAUAGGGACAGUUGGGGGCAUUCGUAUUUCAUUGUCAGAGGUGAAAUUCUUGGAUUUAUGAAAGACGAACUACUGCGAAAGCAUUUGCCAAGGAUGUUUUCA
rnacentral:rRNA from 1 species